rnacentral:lncRNA from 1 species
CACAAUUCAAUCAUACAUAUAACUUUCACUCACACACUAUAUACACAACCAAGAUUUAUGCCCUAAAAUUUGUAGUAUCAGUAACAAAAAUGUGUCUGAUCAAACAUUGACAAGCUUUUAGAUGCAUGCAUGGUCUACAUGACAUUUAUGUCACUGCAAGCAUGGGCUUAUCUCAAAGUUUAAAUAUCAAUCACAGUAAAUAUUUGGUUAAUCUAUAAAAUUAUUGUGGUUGUU